CUUUUUCUGUUUCCCACGAGACGUGUAUGCCUAUAGCCUAGUCCUUUCGAUAAUAAUAAUAAAAAAAAACGAUUAGAAAUGCGUAGCUUGGAGUGUCAAAACUGUAUUAGGCCUCCUAUUUUUAUUUUUAUUUCGUGCAAUUUAGUUAUAUCGUAACAAAUAUACGCAUUUAGAGGAACGGUAGACCGGUCUUCAUCCAGAUUUAGUGUAAAUAAACCAAACACAGAAACACUGAAAGAUUGUAUUUUCGGAAUUUAGAUUCUAUUUUUUUGAAAAAAUGUGGCAUUUUAUAGGGUGGUCGAAAAAAAUAACUUUUGUGACGAUCUCUUAUUCGGGAAAAUUUUAUCUAUUAUAUCAGAUAGUCAGAAAAUGGAUGAAGUUUUUACACAUCUAAUCAAAUAGAGCGUACGAAAGUUUUACACCCAUUGCAAGGGACUGACGGAGUAAAUCUCUUCUUUGGCAUCAUCAUGGAUUUCUCCACAUUGCACCAUGCGCGAAAAUGAUGCGCGACGGCACUUCCACUCUCUUUGGCUUUGUAAAAAACUCGAAGCUGGUGUUCCAUUAGUAUAGUUCCAUGUUUUAACCAACAAAAUCCAUCUGGCAACAAUUGGCUGCCUAGGAGAUGAUCAUAAUUUAAAUAUGGCGGCCGCCAGCUAAAACACCUCCUCCCUAUAGGCUAAUCCACGUCGUUUUACUCUCCAUUUCAUAAACUCUCGUUACUGCGACAAUUUUUUUUAAGAACCCUCAACUCGAUCUACCCCCCCCCCCCCACACACACACAAACACGCGCGCUGAUUGACCCAAAGCGGCGCCUUCGACAUUGAAAGCCUUAGCUCUGACCAGAUCGCGGCCUACGUCAUCACUCGUCAGAGGCCAAUGUUAUGCGUCACUGAUGAUGCGUGCGAAACCACUGUGUUGCUGUGUACAUAGAUAGAAUGAUUUCUUUUGAAACAAAUAGAAUCUUCGUCUAAAUAUGAUUUAGACUUUUCAAAACAUUCAUCAUGGAUUAAAACUCUACAAUGGUGAACAAAUGUCUCGUUUUGUAAAGGAUCUAGAUCUAGCAGAUGCUUUCCGAUUACCAAAAGAUGAAUGAUUAUGAUGGCUUAGAAAGAAAAAUGGCCAGCGGUAAUAGUACCUUUGGCUUAGUAAAGUUAGUAGAAGGAUAGAUCUACGUACCAUAAAGGAGUACUCUAAAUAUUUCUAGAUCCAGCAUUCCUAUUAAUAUUAUACAUAAUUAAUUGACUUUUAUGCUUUUGAUGAAUAACAUGAUAAUCAUUAUAUAAAGUCAAAAUGGGUAGAUCUACUAUCUAGCCUAGGGCCUAGGCGCCCUGGGGCUAGGCCUAGCCUAGGCAUUGAAUACUUGAUCUAGAUCUAGAUUAAUUUCUUUACAAAUUAGACUAGGACGAUGUAGAUCUAAUUGUAAAUCUAUUAAUUUAAUAACAAUUCUGUCAAUAAUUAUAGAGUCUAGAUCUAGUUUAUAUACAAAUAGCAUUUUUUUUUAUAGUAGGUAUCACGUUCAUCAAUUGUGGAUGUCAGAUGUCAAGAUCUAUAAAGAUGCUAUCAGUAUCAUGGAUGUCACGUUAUAGAAUAUUAUAGAUUAUCUUGAUCUGUAUCACACUAUCAUUGAUCGUGAUUGCCGAGGAUCUUGAAAUCUUCUUUUAACAAGAUGAUCGUAUAGAAGUAGCUAGAUCUAGUUGAUAAUACGAUCAUUCAGAAUGUUGCCAGUUGAUAAGAGGAUCAUCUAGAAGUCGCCAAUCGCUAAGUCAAUCCAAGUAUAUUACUAUAUUCAAUAAAGAAACUUCUCUUCGUCUAAAACAAUUACUUUAAUUCAUAACUUGAAAAAGCUCUUCACAAUAAUUACAGUGGUUAAAUGUACUUGAAUAGAAUAACUGAUCUACACAAUAAUAUAACUGAGUUCUAAUAUGUGAGCAGGUCAGGGUGGCGCUAACUGAGUGGGGCCUUUUUGUGUUAUUAUCUGCUGCUCAGCAUUUAUUCAUUAUAACAGUAGGCAAGGGGUAGCUCUACUGGGUGGGCCCAAUCUGUGCACCUCGGUCUGCGACCAAGGGGCUAGAGUAGCCUAAGCAAUCAGACAGCACAAUUAAACUAAACUAAACUAAUCUAGCUAACUAAAAGAAACAUCCAACUAAAUUUAUAAAACAAAAUAUAUAUAUACACUUUAUUUACAUUGACACAAAAAAAAAACCAGUAAUAAAACAAAUAUACCCACUACAAAACAAUAAACCACUCAAUUAACCUAAAUUACCCCAACACUAAACGGUAAGCUACUAGCAGCAGUAAAGCAGAACUACAGCAGACAGGAAUUAUAGCCUGCAAUUACAAAUAUAAACAAACAUAAAAAAUAUAUUAUAAAUAAUCAUUAUAAUAUUAAUGGAAAUACUUUUAGAAACAUUAACAAAUAGACAUAGUAUAGAAAAGCAACAAGGGGAUUAUUAGGGAUAAUUAGAUCUAGGAGCGCCAGCUCACAAAUACAAAAUUGAUGUUAUCACUAACACGUUCCAAAACAAGACUGAUGCGAUUUUGGAUCUUGCCCGGGCACUAGAGCGGGAUCACGUGCUCAACAACUCUACUCUGCAAGACCAACCAAUAAAUGCAGCUCAAUGUACAACAAACAAUAUUUCAAAGCCAAUCAUACCCACUCUGAACACGUAGCCCUUCGCGUGAUGGAAUUACCCGAGGUCGUUGACGAGCUAAAUAUAGAUACUGUGUACGUGACAGUAGGCAUAGACCAUAGUCCGUAUAUAGAAGUACAAAUAGACAGGUAGUAACUUAUAGAUUUAUAUUAGAUAGAUAUACAUUUUAUAUAGAAUAAUAUAUAUAAUAUAAUAAUAAUAUAUAUAUAACUAAUAGAAGUACAGAUCAUAAUCUAUAGUAGUCUAUUACUAGUAUUCUAUAGUUACAUAGACUCAUUCUAUUAGACUGUUAGGCAGUUACUAUUAGAUCUGUCAUAUUUUAUACCCCUGUAGUACCAAAUUAUUCUAGUAAAUGUUAGAUGUUAUAUAUAAUAUAUACAUUUUAUUUUAUAUUUUAUACAGUUUGCAUUUCAUUUCAAAAAUAUUAAUUGUAAACUUUAUUAAACUUUCAGAUCUCGCAUUAACAUUUUCAAGACGAAGUAUCAUGGACAGUAUUGAAGUAUUACAUACUAUAAAGGAAUACUCUAAAAUCUGUCGUUAACAUUUUGAAGACGAUGAAGUAUUGUGGACUAGCUACUACACAUGAAAGAGUAGAGAGUGCAUUAAAAAAAGAGUAAAGUCUCAUGAAGUCGCAGGAUGGCUGCCUGGUCUUGUGGUUUGCGCGCUGGACUGUCAUUUGGAUUUAUCGAUGUUUCUGGUUCAAACCCUGCCAGCUCCCAUCCCCUGUCGUCACGGAGGUCAUGAGUCAGCCGACGCAAAUCGCCCCAGGCCAGCGCUAGACAAGCGGUCAACCGUGACGAGUUAUGACAGUCAGCCGAGACAAGUGUCAACAUGAUGGUUCGGGAAGGAUCGACGUCGUGAACAGAGCUCAGGAGCGUCACAAGGGUUGUAGUCAUCUGACCACCCAGAAUGGUCCAGCGACGUUCUGCCCGGUUCUAGAAGGCCAGCAGGGACCCUAUAUAAAGUGCGGAGGUGUUGCAGUCAAGAAGGUUCACGACAGGGGUUCAGAACACGGUCGACCACAGCACAGUUCAAUGGUGUGAUUCUGUACGGAGCAUUACGACAGUUCAGUGCGGAGUACUGUCAAGUACAGUUGAGUUGGUCUGCGAUCGAGUCCGACACAACGAGCCUAGUGUGUGAAGUCAGUCCUGAACUGUUGAACCCAGUGCACGCCCGGAACGAGAUGGAGAGGCCAGUGCAAGAGUUGAUACGGCGGUACGGUGUUAUCGGAGAGAUAUUUGUACAGUGUACAUGUUGCCAAUUGUACAGUAUUGGCUGUUAUUUAUUCAACUAUUAAAGUGUUAGUUACUUUGGAGCCCUGAGUUGUCAAGUUCUUUAAGUUCGUGGUGUAUGGUGCAGUUUGCAGAGAGCCUGGAUAGUGAGAUUCGUAACAAUAUGAUAAUUAUUAUAUUUAUUACUAAAUAUAUAGUUCGCAUUUUUUCCGCUCCUGAGCACGAAUAUUUUCUCCUGGAAAACUCUUGGAAAUCUCCUGAAAUCCUAAUCUCAGAAUGGUGGGGGAACCCUGUGAAAA